UACGAAGGGGGCUAGCGUUGCUCGGAAUCACUGGGCGUAAAGCGCACGUAGGCGGCUUCUUAAGUCAGGGGUGAAAUCCUGGAGCUCAACUCCAGAACUGCCUUUGAUACUGAGGAGCUUGAGUCCGGGAGAGGUGAGUGGAACUGCGAGUGUAGAGGUGAAAUUCGUAGAUAUCCGCAAGAACACCAGUGGCGAAGGCGGCUCACUGGCCCGGUACUGACGCUGAGGUGCGAAAGCGUGGGGAGCAAACAGG
rnacentral:rRNA from 1 species